GACGAACGCUGGCGGCGUGCUCAACACAUGCAAGUCGAACGGGAUCCGGGCUUUCGGGUUUGGUGAGAGUGGCGAACGGGUGAGUAACACGUGAGUAACCUGCCCCCUUCUUUGGGAUAACGUCGGGAAAUCGGCGCUAAUACUGGAUAUUCUUGCUGCAUCGCAUGGUGUGGUUUGGAAAGGGUUUCUGGUGGGGGAUGGGCUCGCGGCCUAUCAGCUUGUUGGUGGGGUGAUGGCCUACCAAGGCUUUGACGGGUAGCCGGCCUGAGAGGGUGUCCGGCCACACUGGGACUGAGACACGGCCCAGACUCCUACGGGAGGCAGCAGUGGGGAAUAUUGCACAAUGGGCGCAAGCCUGAUGCAGCGACGCCGCGUGAGGGAUGACGGCCUUCGGGUUGUAAACCUCUUUCAGUAUGGAACAAGGAUCCUUCUUUUGGGGGGUUUGAGGGUACGUGCAGAAGAAGCGCCGGCUAACUACGUG
rnacentral:rRNA from 1 species